rnacentral:misc_RNA from 1 species
GUGGCAAUGAGGUAGAUGCACUGGCUGAGGGGAAUCUGGACCCACUGUUGCUGCAUUUACCAGAAGUACAAGAGCUCAAUGCCAAAGGAUCUAAGGCUAGCAUUAAACUCCAACCGCCAGCUUCUUCAGCUGGUACAACAUGGUUCACAAAAUCUACUAUAAGCAGGUUCCUCCAGAUAGUUGGCUCACCAGAAUUAAUGAAUAUCAUGAAAACAA